rnacentral:lncRNA from 1 species
UCCCCUCCCUUCACUCCAAGCCUCUCCAAUUUCCACCUAAUUCCAAAUGUCCUUAUUCCUUCCCCUCCUCCCCUCCUGCGUUUCUUUUGCUGCCUAUAUUUAAUGUGAGUUGGUGCAGAGCUUGGAAACGGAAGGCUGGCCGACUCAUUCAGCGAAGCCAAAGGGGCGGCUUUCCUCAGUUUUGACUCCCAAAACUCCAAUCCAAUUCAUCCAUUCUAAAUAUAAACGCCCUUCCUCUUCUUAUUCACCUCCCUUCC